rnacentral:tRNA from 1 species
CGGUGAAUAGCGCAGUUUGGUAGCGCAUCUGGUUUGGGACCAGAGGGUCGGGGGGUCGAAUCCCUCUUCACCGACCA